rnacentral:rRNA from 1 species
AACGAACGCUGGCGGCAUGCCUAACACAUGCAAGUCGAACGAGAUCUUCGGGUCUAGUGGCGCACGGGUGCGUAACGCGUGGGAAUCUGCCCUUUGGUUCGGAAUAACAGUUGGAAACGACUGCUAAUACCGGAUGAUGACGAAAGUCCAAAGAUUUAUCGCCAGAGGAUGAGCCCGCGUAGGAUUAGCUAGUUGGUGUGGUAAAGGCGCACCAAGGCGACGAUCCUUAGCUGGUCUGAGAGGAUGAUGAGCCACACUGGGACUGGGACACGGCCAAGAAUCCUACGGGAGGCAGCAGUGGGGAAUAUUGGACAAUGGGCGAAAGCCUGAUCCAGCAAUGCCGCGUGAGUUAUGAAGGCCUUAGGGUUGUAAAGCUCUUUUACCCGGGAUGAUAAUGACAGUACCGGGAGAAUAAGCUCCGGCUAACUCCGUGCCAGCCGCCGCCGUAA